UACAGAGGUCUCAAGCGUUGUUCGGAUUCAUUGGGCGUAAAGGGUGCGUAGGUGGCGCGCUAAGUCGGGUGUGAAAUUUCGGAGCUUAACUCCGAAACUGCAUUCGAUACUGGCGUGCUUGAGGACUGGAGAGGAGACUGGAAUUCAUGGUGUAGCAGUGAAAUGCGUAGAGAUCAUGAGGAAGACCAGUGGCGAAGGCGGGUCUCUGGACAGUUCCUGACACUGAGGCACGAAGGUCAGGGGAGCAAACGGG
rnacentral:rRNA from 1 species